UACGAAGGGGGCUAGCGUUGUUCGGAAUUACUGGGCGUAAAGCGCGCGCAGGCGGCUAUCCAAGUCAGUGGUGAAAGCCCGGAGCUCAACUCCGGAACUGCCAUUGAAACUGUUUAGCUUGAGGAUGAGAGAGGUGAGUGGAAUUCCCAGUGUAGAGGUGAAAUUCGUAGAUAUUGGAAGAGCACCGGUGGCGAAGGCGGCUCACUGGCUCAUUACUGACGCUCAGGCGCGAUAGCGUGGGAUCAAACAGG
rnacentral:rRNA from 1 species